AGGCUUUCUUGGCAGAGAAGACACCAUGAUCAGGCAGGUGAUUUCCCCGGGGCAAGGCUCAUCCUUUGCACCCUGGGUGUGCAGACCCCUGCAAUUUCCCCAAAUGCAGGAAACUUGACUGCAUAAUUUGUGCUAGUGGGAGACUGUGCUGUUGGGGUUUUUUU